ACAUCCACAAGAGGCGCGGCGCCUCCUGGGUCGUGUGGCCAGUCUCCGGUUCGCUUUGGAAGGCUCUGCUAAGGAAAUGGUCAGGUUGCCAAAGGACCGGUCAUCUCUCAUCCUCCCUCCGGUCGAUCGGCGCCUCGGGUCUGCUGGACGGAGCUUGGAGCCUGGAGCCUGGAGCCAGGUGACUCUCAGAGCUGCUGUCUGUGGCCGCUGGGAGCAGGAACCCAGGAAACAGCAAUUCUAACCACGAGGAGAAUUUUUAAACCACACAUGUAUGUCAGAGAUGCACACAGAGCUCUGAGCCAUGGGAAUGUCCCAAGAAGCCAGGAGACAAUAAAGCGAGCUGUGUCAGAGAAUGCCUGUUGAAGGGCUGGGUUUCUGUCUCAGAAGGAUGGCGAUUUAUAAUCUGGCCCAGCCACAUCCCAGCUGUGUGGCCUCCAGGUCUUCUCAGAACUUCAGUGUUCUCGCCUACCAAAUGACAGUUCCACGGAGACCCCACCGAGGGACCAAGCGUCAGAUCUGUGGGUUUCACUAACACUCAGAACAAAAGCAGGGCAAAAAGAAAGAAGAAAAGAGGGGAGAGAAGCGAAGGCUCGGACAGCCACAAAGUUGUCACCGAUGGAGGGAGGGACCUACAUUGUCUCAAACCUUCUGUUCCUGG
rnacentral:lncRNA from 1 species